GCUCUCGGUGGGCGCGGCGAUCGCGGUCUCGCGCUGGAAGCGCGAGAGCAAGCCCUCGGUCCUUCCGGGCGAGCGCU
rnacentral:tRNA from 1 species